UACGUAGGGCGCAAGCGUUGUCCGGAAUUAUUGGGCGUAAAGAGCUCGUAGGCGGCCUGUUGCGUCCGCUGUGAAAUCCCGGGGCUUAACCCCGGGCUUGCAGUGGAUACGGGCAGGCUGGAGGCAGGCAGGGGAGAACGGAAUUCCCGGUGUAGCGGUGAAAUGCGGCAGAUAUCGGGAGGAACACCGGUGGCGAAGGCGGUUCUCUGGGCCUGUACUGACGCUGAGGAGCGAAAGCCAGGGGAGCAAACGGG
rnacentral:rRNA from 1 species